rnacentral:rRNA from 1 species
CCCUUAGAUGUUCUGGGCCGCACGCGCGCUACACUGACGAAUGCGACGAGCUUAUAACCUUGGCCGAAAGGUCUGAGUAAUCUCCAAAUUUCGUCGUGAUGGGGAUAGAUUAUUGCAAUUAUUAAUCUUCAACGAGGAAUGCCUAGUAAGCGCAAGUCAUCAGCUUGCGUUGAUUACGUCCCUGCCCUUUGUACACACCGCCCGUCGCUCCUACCGAUUGAAUGGUCCGGUGAAGCGUUCGGACCGUGGCCUUUGGACGGUUCGCCGUCUGUUGGCUGCGGGAAGUUCGUUAAACCUUAUCAUUUAGAGGAAGGAGAAGUCGUAACA